AAACCGCUUAGAGGUAAACGGGUGGAUCCGCAAAGUCGGCCCGGGGAAUUCAACUUGCCGUUUGGGCUGUGGGCGCCUUGUCAGGGAUCCGUAAAGACCCGCCUGGUGUUCGGCAGUCGUCGGCGAGUGCACUUUCCUCGGGUAGAGCGCCACGACCGGUUUCGGAGCGGUCAUAAGCCGGCUGGGAAGGUGACUUCCUCUUAGGAGGAAGUGUUAUAGCCCAGCCAGGUCGGCUCGUUCCGAGACCGAGGAUUUGCCGCGUCUCACUGCCCUCGGCUCUCUUGGUGCGUUCGACUGGGGAAGCACUGCUUGCAGUUCUCUCCGACUGCGUGCCUUGAUCGGUCGGGAAGCACGAGGCGCUUCGGGUCAGUGGCGAAUCGGUCGGUCCUCCACCCGACCCGUCUUGAAACACGGACCAAGGAGUCUAACAUGUGCGCAAGUCAUGGGGUUCUGUACGAAACCUAAAGGCACAAUGAAAGUGAAGGUCAACCUCCGGUCGGCCUAGGUAGGAUUCCCGCGAGGGGCGCACUACCGGCCCGUCUCAACCACAUCGUUGGUGGGGCGGAGCAAGAGCGUACACGUUGGGACCCGAAAGAUGGUGAACUAUGCCUGAGUAGGACGAAGCCAGAGGAAACUCUGGUGGAGGUCCGUAGCGAUUCUGACGUGCAAAUCGAUCGUCAAACUUGGGUAUAGGGGCGAAAGACUAAUCGAACCAUCUAGUAGCUGGUUCCCUC
rnacentral:rRNA from 1 species